ACACGGGACUGCCGGUCUUAAGCCGGAGGAAGUGGGGAUGAUGUCAAGUCCUCAUGGCCCUUAUGGUAGGGCUUCACACGUCAUACAAUGGUCGGUACAGAGGGUUGCCAAGCCGCGAGGUGGAGCCAAUCCCUUAAAGCCGAUCGUAGUCCGGAUCGUAGUCUGCAACUCGACUACGUGAAGUCGGAAUCGCUAGUAAUCGCAGAUCAGCAUGCUGCGGUGAAUACGUUCCCGGGUCUU
rnacentral:rRNA from 1 species